rnacentral:rRNA from 1 species
GGACUACUAGGGUAUCUAAUCCUGUUCGCUCCCCACGCUUUCGCGCCUCAGCGUCAGUUACAGACCAAAGAGCCGCCUUCGCCACUGGUGUUCCUCCACAUCUCUACGCAUUUCACCGCUACACGUGGAAUUCCGCUCUUCUCUUCUGCACUCAAGCCUUCCAGUUUCCAAUGACCCUCCCCGGUUGAGCCGGGGGCUUUCACAUCAGACUUAAAAGGCCGCCUGCGCGCGCUUUACGCCCAAUAAUUCCGGACAACGCUUGCCACCUACGUAUUACCGCGGCUGCUGGCAC